UUUUUUUUUUUUUUUUCAUUUCUCAUUCUUGAAAAGUUUGGUAAGCAAUUGGUUUGCUUUCAAUGGAGUUCACAUGCCAAGAUAGAGAUCCACCAACCCAAAUCUUAUAGUAAAAUCCAAAAGGAGACCGGUAAGAUUUUCCAAAAAUUUCUAAAGCAAUCACAAGGGAGAAGAAAGAAAGUGAUGCAGCCUCUAUGUGGGUAGGGUUGCAUUCGGUGAAGACCGAAAGCAAUUUUCCAAAAAUUUCAAAAGCAAUCACAAGGGAGAAGAAAGAAAGUGAUGCAGCCUCUAUGUGGGUAGGGUUGCAUUCGGUGAAGACCGAAAGCA
rnacentral:misc_RNA from 1 species